rnacentral:siRNA from 1 species
GCCUCUGUAGCAUAGUGGU